GCUCGAUGAGGGCAAACCCUGAGCGAUCAGGGGACGCAAAGGAAAGGGUCUUUCCCUGUAUACGGAAGUACAGGAAUAAAGAAGUAAAGAUUCUCUAACGUAUACGGAAAUACGUAUCACAUAAGAUAGCCUUACUGCUGAA
rfam:Candidatus Brocadia caroliniensis isolate 26THWARD NODE_763_length_1587_cov_30.637_ID_1525, whole genome shotgun sequence.